AUGUCCCUGCCUUGUUCGUGAUCAAAAGCAUAUUGCGAGCCAACAUGAACAUCAAGGGUGACUCUACUGUGUGAAGAUAGUGAUUCGUUUCGGCGAAAUUGCCUGAGGCAUACACGAGUACCGCCCACCUAACUAUGUUAGGUUCGGUGUCGCUGGCGAAACGGCAAAGGUGGGGACAUU
rnacentral:other from 1 species